rnacentral:lncRNA from 1 species
UCAACAAAAUCCUAGCCUCUUCAUCAUAUAAAACAGAAAUUCCUAGGAUACAAUGUCAUACGCCUUCUUAAAGCCCACCUUAAGGAUUGCACAUUCCUUCCUACACCUCCUAACUUCUUCUACCACCUCAUUGGAUAUAAGGACACCAUCAAACAUGUAUCUCUCACUCAAGAAGGCACAUUGUCUGACAUCUAUAACCUUAGGUAAGACUUUUCUCACUCUAUUGGAUAGAACUUUUGAAAUGACUUU